CCGCCGAGGUCCGAGGGAUGAUCCGGAUGAAGUUCUGAAGUACGAGUCGGCUGCAUUGCUGCCGAUUUAUAGGUUUUAGCUCGUCAAAUGAGAAUUUACUGUUCGUCACGUUAAACAUUGAAGAAAAUUUGUUGAAAUUCUUUAGUUCAUUCAUAGAUCGAAAAAAGGUUAGAAAUUUAGUAUGACAUUCCAUUCCCAGCACGUGGUCGAUCCUGUUCGACGGUUAGCGAAAUAUACCUGUUUGUGCAAGACUACGAAAAGGAAUGUAUUCAUUUAAAAAAUUUCAGUUUCUGGAGGUGGGAACUAUAUCUUACUAACUGUAGAAUCAAUUCAGAAAAUUUUAUCGCUGGAGCAAUAUUGAAUUAAAUCAGUUUGGUGGUAGUGAGUGUGCUUGCAACUAUUUUACUUUGCAACCUCGAAUCUAAUUUGCAGUAUGAAAUAGAUAAAUGCAAUAUAUCAUUUAACCUGCCCAGUUUCAAUGAUCGAGACUGUGUCUUAUAAGAUUUGCAUCUAAAAGGAUGUAAAAUUUGCAAUGGCAAUUCUAAUUGGCCAUAUUUUUACACACCGAACCACCUGACUUCCUAAGUAUGGAGCCUGCUGUACUCUUUCCCAAAAUGUCUCUUGAUGCAUGUUGCAUAUUUCGUCAUAUGCAGAAAUAUUUCAGAACAGUCAAA